UCCUUCUCAGAAUCUUACCUGGAAAGUUUCCAGUACUCUACCAGUCUCGAUUAUGGGAGGGAGAGUCAGGCAGAGGAGAGGCCCAUUUCAUUCCCAGCUUGGUCAGUGGCUAGCGAGUGGAAGGCAAUCUGCUACAAGU